rnacentral:tRNA from 1 species
GCGGAGGUGGCAGAGCAUGGUCAAAUGCGCUAGCUUGAGGGGCUAGUCCCUAAGUGGGUGCGAGGGUUCAAAUCCCUUCCUCCGCA